CUCUAGAUGAUGAAGGUAUAUGGAGGUUCACUUUCUUCCCAUUGAUGUUAAGGACGAUGCUGACUUAUGGACCCAAACGAUGGAAAAUAAAUCCUCUUCUUAUUGCUCUGUGCUACUGAAGUGUUAGGGAUUUUGACCAAGACCAUGGAAUACCCCUUUUCUUGCUCUGCGCCAUAAUUGUCUCAUGCCAAAGGCCGCAGUAAUCAUAAAAAUGUAUAAAGGGAAACGAGUGUUAAAUACUUGGCUAGCACUAGCAAUAUGAUUCAUCAAAAUAAAAGCCAUCACAAGGAAAAAGCUAAAUAAUGGAAAAUUAAGACAUGGAAGCCAAUUAUUGUUUCAAAAUCAGCAAGGACUUCACCCCAUAGCACCAGCUUUUGCCUGCACCACAAAAAAGUUUCCCAAAUCUCUGCCAUAAUUCAAGGGGCUUCAUCUUCAAACAAUUUCAUUGACUAAUCAUAAUGCAGAGACAUCUUCAAUAGCAGCUUCAACGGAAGUUUCUCAAGUGGAGAAUCAAAAUGUAGAACUCUGUGAUUACUUUGAGGAUUAUGAAAGUUUAGACUACCUGGUAUUUAUACUUUAGAGGGACACUGUUUGAUGUUUGUCCGAGUCCGAUGGCGACGAGAAAGACAGAGAGAGAGAGAGAGAGAGAGAGAGAGAGAGAGAGAGAGAGAUGGAGAGAGCAAACAGACCUGAAGGUGCUACUGAAGUUGGAACUCGACAAUGCACCAGAAUUCAAUGUGUUGAUUCUUUUCACUGCAGGGAAACGAGUGUUAAUAACGUAGCUAGGUAUCAAAGGCAUCACAAGGCAAAAGCUAGAUGAUUUGUUAUGACCAAAUCUUCGUCUUCUCUGUAAGUAAUCACAACACAAAGACCUGUUUUCCAAAAUUAAAAAUUGCGUAGUAAUCUCUCAGUUCAAGAAAUUUCAUCUUUCAUAUAGAUAUAUAUG